UACGUAGGUGGCGAGCGUUGUCCGGAAUUACUGGGCGUAAAGGAUGCGUAGGUGGAUAUUUAAGUGGGAUGUGAAAUCCCCGGGCUCAACCCGGGAACUGCAUUCCAAACUGGAUGUCUAGAGUGCAGGAGAGGAAAGCGGAAUUCCUAGUGUAGCGGUGAAAUGCGUAGAUAUUAGGAGGAACACCAGUGGCGAAGGCGGCUUUCUGGACUGUAACUGACACUGAGGCAUGAAAGCGUGGGUAGCAAACAGG
rnacentral:ncRNA from 3 species